rnacentral:miRNA from 1 species
CCGUCGUCUGGCCUCGGGGACU